rnacentral:rRNA from 1 species
UACGUAGGGGGCAAGCGUUGUCCGGAUUUAUUGGGCGUAAAGAGCUCGUAGGCGGCUUGUCGCGUCGACUGUGAAAACCCGCGGCUCAACCGUGUGGCUUGCAGUUGAUACGGGCAGGCUAGAGUUCGGUAGGGGAGACUGGAAUUCCUGGUGUAGCGGUGAAAUGCGCAGAUAUCAGGAGGAACACCGGUGGCGAAGGCGGGUCUCUGGGCCGAUACUGACGCUGAGGAGCGAAAGCGUGGGGAGCGAACAGG